rnacentral:rRNA from 1 species
GACGAACGCUGGCGGCGUGCUUAACACAUGCAAGUCGAACGGAAAGGCCCUGCUUUUGUGGGGUGCUCGAGUGGCGAACGGGUGAGUAACACGUGAGUAACCUGUCCUUGACUUUGGGAUAACUUCAGGAAACUGGGGCUCAUAUCGGAUAGGAGCUCCUGCUGCAUGGUGGGGGUUGGAAAGUUUCGGCGGUUGGGGAUGGACUCGCGGGUUAUCAGCUUGUUGGUGAGGUAGUGGAUUACAAAGGUUUUGACGGGUAGCCGGCCUGAGAGGGUGACCGGCCACAUUGGGACUGAGAGACGGCCCAGACUCCUACGGGAGGCAGCAGUGGGGAAUAUUGCACAAUGGGCGGAAGCCUGAUGCAGCAACCCCGCGUUCGGGAUGACGGCCUUCGGGUUGUAAACCGCUUUCGCCUGUGACGAAGCGUGAGUGACGGUAAUGGGUAAAGAAGCACCGGCUAACUACGUG